AUCUCAAAUUUAAAUUUUAAAAAUUUAAAUAUAAUUUUAUAUUAAUUUUAUCUAAAUUUAAUACUAAUUUAUACCUAUAUCCUCUCAAAGAGGCAGGUCGAAUAUAAUUUUCGCCGAAUCGAGUUGAAAUUCCGAUCAUCAAAGAACAAGUGGACGCAACAGCGAGCUGUGCACCACCGGUCCCCAAACUUGACCCAUUCAGCUUACUAGACGUACGUGGCGAUAAGAGCAACGCACGUGGCGCUGUGAAUGCAGUAGUUGGACCGGCGACUUCCCCCUUUCCUCACCGUCUCGCCCCUCGCCGCCACCAUGAGUGCCUAUAUAUACAGAUAGAGCGAACUCCAAUUGUGCCGUGCAGCAACAGUGUCUCAAAUCAACCUUGGGAUUUAAUUUUCCGCUAAAGAAAGAGGAAUUUCAACACCAAUACCAAUACCAACAUGGAGAGGAAAUCGCUUGGGCUUUUCGUCCUGCUUCUCAUUGCCUUUGCCACUCAAGAUCAGAUGGUGGUGCCGGCGGAGGGGAGAGUGUGCGAGGCACCUAGCGGCAAAUUCAGUGGGCUAUGCUUCCUUGAAAAGAACUGCGUGGAUGUGUGCACGAAGAAGGAGAAACUUCUGGGCGGCUUUUGCAGAAAUGGGAUGUGUUACUGCAAGCAUUGCUAAUUAAUUAUUAAAAAAAUAAGUCCCACUCCCACUGGCUUACGCCAUACCCAUGCAUAUAUGUGCAUGUAAUACUGUCAUAUUUGUAGGUUGCUUAUACUCAUAAUCGGCCGCAUGUGAUAGAUAAAUAAAACGAGAUGGGAUCUUUGUACUGUUUAA